rnacentral:lncRNA from 1 species
AUGGGGGAGACCACCUUCCCCUACUGGGCCCCCGAGGGCUGCUGCCUCGAGGUUAUAGAAACAAUCCUCUUCCUGGUUACCUUGAUCAUCAUCCUGCAGCUGGCCGUCAGCCUGGCCCCGGCGAUCUGCUAUUAUGUCUGCUGCAUCAUUAGAUCUUUAUACAGAAGCAUUAUGGCCACAGUCUUAUCAGGGCAGUGUUCCCAUCAGGACCUCGCUCACCGGCGGCGCCGGGAAAGGAGCCGUUCCCCACCCUGCCACUGCCUCCUGUGCAUUCCUGAACCCAUCCAUCUUACCAUGAAUGUCCAGAAUGAGGAGGCUCACCGGGCUGGGAGGCGCCCUUACCCUGACUUCCUGCCAUGCCACCCGCCCCGCUAUUACCAUCCUUGUGACUGCGAAAACCGGUCCCGUCCGCGUACCGCCUUGGCCCCUGCGGGUUAUGCUCCCAUCGUUUGCUGCCGGGACGUGGCCGUCGGCACCUCCGAGCCCAUGUUAUAUCCGGGCAGCCAGGAACGCCGGAAUGACAUGGCAGUGGGCACCGAAUUCUACCCCCGGACGCAGGUGGGGGAGACUCACUACCGCCUAUUAGGGCCCAGCCAUGAUGCUGAAUACACAGGAGGACCCCCGCCACGCUCCCAUCGGCCCACCAAAGUUUACAUCUACCCGGUGCACCCCCAGACGCCCCCCGGGAGCAGAUCGGCUAGCCCGGAGAGGCUCCACCGGCGUCGGGGAGCCACAACCGGCAGCCAGGAAGAUCAGCAGCAGGAAUUUGAGACCCAAGAGCCGCGUCGCAAGGCCCGGGAGCCGGAGCAGCACGCCAGAGGGGCCCCGCCGCGCUUCCACACUGUUGCCACCAGCGUCCUCCAAAGGGCCGCCCAAACCGAGGCCUCGGGCCCCAAGCAGCAGCAUCCUUGGUCCGAGGCACCGGCCGACUCGGAUUGGUUCUAUCGGCCCCUGUAGAUUGCCCCCCUGUCACCCUGGCAGGCCAAAAAAUAAAAAAAUAAAAAAGAGGGGUCCCCGCGACA